rnacentral:rRNA from 1 species
GACGAACGCUGGCGGCGUGCUUAACACAUGCAAGUCGAACGGUGAAGCUCCAGCUUGCUGGGGUGGAUCAGUGGCGAGCGGAAGAGUAACACGAGAGCAACGUACCCCUGACCCUGCUAUAAGCGCACGAAACGGCGUCUAAUACAGGAUACGAGAAGGGUCCGCAUGGGCACUUUCUGGAUAGUUCUUCUGUUGGGGCUGGGCUCGCGGCCUAUCAGCCUGUUGGUGAGGUAGUGGCUGACCAGGGCGACGACGGGUAGGCGGGCUCACAGGGCGACAGGCCACGCUGGGACUGCGACGCGGCGCAGACUCCGACGGUAGUGAGCAGUGGGGAAUAGUGCAAUAUGGGCGAACGCCUGAUGCAGUGACGCCGCUUGGGGUAUGACGGCCUUCGGGUUGUAAACCUCUCUCAGCAGGGAAGUAGCUAAAUUGACGGUACCUGCAGAAGAAGCACCGGCUAACUACGUG